rnacentral:rRNA from 1 species
AAAAAAUAACGAUACGGGACUCUAUUGAGGCCCCGUAAUCGGAAUGAGUACACUUUAAAUCCUUUAACAAGGAUCUAUUGGAGGGCAAGUCUGGUGCCAGCAGCCGCGGUAAUUCCAGCUCCAAUAGCGUAUAUUAAAGUUGUUGCGGUUAAAAAGCUCGUAGUUUGGUUCUGCGUGCCACGCUGUCGGUUCGCCGCCUGUCGGUGUAACUGGCAUGUCGUGGUAUGUCCUGUCGGUGGUGAAUGAAAACCCCAGUACAUAACGUAGGCUUUCACUAGUCGAAGUUUGUAUUGUGUGUGUUUUUAUUUGCCGAUCUCCUACUCCGGUGCUCUUAAACGAGUGUCGAAGUAGGCCGACACGUUCACUUUGAACAAAUUAGAGUGCUUAAAGCAGGCUGAAAAAUCUGCCUGAAUAGUGGUGCAUGGAAUGAUAAAAUAGGACCUUGGUUCUAUUUUGUUGGUUUUAGGAAUACAAGGUAAUGAUCAAUGUAGACAGGCGGGGGCAUUCGUAUUGCGACGUUAGAGGUGAAAUUCUUGGAUCGUCGCAAGACGCACUAGAGCGAAAGCAUUUGCCAAGUAUGUCUUAAUUGAUCAAGAACGAAAGUUAGAGGUUCGAAGGCGAUCAGAUACCGCCCUAGUUCUAACCAUAAACGAUGCCAGCCAGCGAUCCGCCGAUGUUCCUUUAAAUGACUCGACGGGGAGCUUUUACCCGGGAAACCAAAGCUUUUGGGUUCCGGGGGAAGUAUGGUUGCAAAGCUGAAACUUAAA